AGAUACAUGCAGAAGCAGUACCACAGCCGAUGAGGGUUAUUCGAGGUGUGGUUGUUGCUGGUUAAAAACUCUUCUUAUCUAUUUGUUUCCAUUUCGAGCUCUCUUGGAGAUGAACAGAGUCAUGACCCACCUGAGGU
rfam:Octopus bimaculoides Scaffold80260_contig_15, whole genome shotgun sequence.